rnacentral:rRNA from 1 species
UACGUAGGGUGCAAGCGUUGUCCGGAAUUAUUGGGCGUAAAGAGCCUGUAGGCGGUUUGUCGCGUCUGCUGUGAAAUUUCGGGGCUCAACCCCGAACUUGCAGUGGGUACGGGCAGGCUAGAGUGUGGUAGGGGAGACUGGAAUUCCUGGUGUAGCGGUGAAAUGCGCAGAUAUCAGGAGGAACACCGAUGGCGAAGGCAGGUCUCUGGGCCACUACUGACGCUGAGAAGCGAAAGCAUGGGGAGCGAACAGG